AAAGGGACACCAAUAACUGGCAGAAGGCUUUGGACAUGGAUGAUUUUGCUGUGUGCUCAUUACUUUGUGAGAUCAUAAACAAACAGACAAUGCUUUGCAGUCAGCUUAAUCAGUCCUGGUAACUCCUCUACACACCUCCCAGCAUGAAGCCUUGUGAAUACAGCUUGUUUUCAGGGGUGAAGGAAGAGAACAGGAUGGAUUUUUAACUGUGCCAGCUGUAUUCUACUGGCAACAGCUAUGGUCUCAAAGAUCUUAUCCGAUAUCACUAAAGCUCUUUGAAGGUGGGAAGCUCUGCCGCCAACUCGUUGCAACUGAGAGAAGUGUCAACGAUUUAAGGGCUGGUCCGGCCCGGUUCCGCGACUAGUGGGCGGAGGGAUUUCUCAAAAUCCACGCCUCCAGGAAGGGAAACAGGGGAGCCCAAAAUAAUUAAAAACAGCGGCAACGAUCUGAGGAGAAACAAACUAAUUUACUAAAUAUAGUAUCGGAAUGUAAGAUAACACACUAUAAUACAAUAUAAAUCAGCAAUAAUUGAGAGAAAGAUUGUCCGAGAGCCAAAGGCCUUACGCUAAUACUGAAACCUUGCGUGCAGUCGGGCGCAGCAGUAGUGAGCCGAUCUGACAGGGAACAUGGCGAGAUGAGAAGAGGGACAAGUCAGAUGACCUGCGCCCUUAUAUCUGUUCCCUUGAGCAGGAAUGAUAACAGUAUUCGAAAAGGCUCUUGGGGAACGUAGUUCUUCUUCUCUUCCAGACAGGUACCCGGAACUAAAGCAUUUGCUCCUUAGCUCCCAGUACACUGCAUGAUGUUGUGAUGUGGAAUACUGAUAACCAAAAAUCAUAAAACCAUGACAAGAAGUUACAGAUUUGAAAAAUCUUCAGUAAGUACUAGAAGUGUUUUAGGUAAUGAAAGAAAACACUUCAAUCCUGAAAAUCUUACCAAAUUUUUGAGCUGUUUAUGCACCACUGGCAACAACAUUUUGGAUCAUGAAGUUCUGUAAAUACACAAAUACAGGAUACUAAAUGUAGACAAGACUACCAUUUUGAGUGGUAAGAUAAUUUGUUCCCUACUUAAGUUCUGUUGCUGACCAAGUAAGGAGAAUAGCAACCAAACAUCACCUAGAACACUACUGGCCCUUGAUUUACUUGGCUCAUGUUUAGGACACUAGUUGUCAGGAAACUUCACAGGUGAGUUUUAAAAAUUUAAUUAGCUUUCUAAUACAUUGAGUAUUAAUGUACCUUUUUAGUUUUGUUUAUGUAAUUAUAUUAAUUAAAGCUACUUAUAUACUGGCCUAACCACCUUAAUGUUCAACUGAAUAAUGAAAUUAGUAAGAACAGUGAAACAACAAAUGUGUUUCAUUUUCUUGUGGCACUAUGUUCUUAGACAAUUAUUAUUAUUAUUAUUAUUAUUAUUAUUAUUAUUAUUAUUUAUUUAUUUUGCUGGGAAAUGAAAAGCUUCAGUUCUGUAAGGGAGUUAGCAUAUGCCCAGACUCCAACUUUUACUGAAAUUCCUCUUUAUUCUCUAGAUAGCUUCAGCAUAUGCUUUAAAUUAAGGUCAUAUUAAAAUUUCUGUUUUCAGAUCAAUCUGAACAUAUAUGCUCUGCUGUUCUGAAUGCAAAGACAUGAAUUCAGCAGAUGUAACAGUACAACAUUAAAGCCAGUAUCUACUCCCCAGAUUCAUACUACUGUCAAUCUACUAUGAAAAAAAUUGUUGUACAAUACUGAAAAUAAUAUAUUUGCUUUCAUUAUUAUAUUUUUGCUUGUUGGGUAUGUUAAUUCAAAUGCAAAUCUUUAGGACUGAAACUAAGUCAAGCUCACAAAUACACAUAUUUCAUAGAAUCAUAGCUUGAUCAUAGUUUGAGUCGGAAGGGCCAUCUAGUCCAACACCAAUGCAAUGAACAGGGACACCUACGGCUGGAUCAGGUUGUGCUUGUAUUUAAGUUCAUACUGAUCAGGCAGUGUUUAGUAUAUGAAUUGUCAUCCUUAAUGAAAUGGUUUAAUCAUUAAGACAAAUCAGAAAACCUGUAUGGCAAUCUUAGCAUUUUAUUGAAAUAUCUGAACAUAUUUUUACCUUAUCAAUUUCUAUGUGUUACUUAUAAAUCCACUUUACAACUGAAGUCAUAGGAGAAACAAUGUGCUUCUGGAAGUAUGAAAAACUUGAUCAGAAGUAUUUAACUUCAGCAAAUGAUUCUCAAGAUGUCUUGCUCUCUUACAAUUUCAUUGUGUACUGUAGAGAAUAUUCCACUCACUACGAGCAUUAAGAGACCUGUCAUUCAUAUAAGCAGCAUGACAAGUGAUUCAAUAAAACACAUGACAUAUCCUCUGGUUGAACUGACAACAGGAUCUAGGGAGAAUCAGAUAUGCCUUUAAAAAGUGUUUAGUACUUUAACACUGUGCAGCAUAGAAAUCCCUUUUUAACAAAUUGUUAUGGGGAAAAAUGAGAAAAAAAAACAUUUUUCAGGAUGAAGAUCAUACUGCAUCUGCUAGAUAAUACCACAUAAUACUGAGAUAAUUGAAUUCAUUGCAUUUGGAGGAUCCUAGUUUGCCAGAUUAUUCAUUUUGCAGGAGCACUUCAUCUUUAGAAGCUUGGCUUCUCUGCCAAUCUAUGCUCAAGGCUGUGUGAGGCAAAAUUAAGUUACAUAUUGAGAAGAGCAACAAAGAAUAAAGACACUGACCUAGUUCAGAAGCUAUAAACAUUUUUAAUACAC
rnacentral:lncRNA from 1 species